GGACUACUCGGGUUUCUAAUCCUGUUCGCUCCCCACGCUUUCGCUCCUCAGCGUCAGUUACGGCCCAGAGAUGUGCCUUCGCCAUUGGUGUUCCUCCUGAUAUCUGCGCAUUCCACCGCUACACCAGGAAUUCCCAUCUCCCCUACCGCACUCUAGCCUGCCCGUACCCACUGCAAGUCCGAGGUUGAGCCUCGGAAUUUCACAGCAGACGUGACAAACCGCCUACGAGCUCUUUACGCCCAAUAAUUCCGGACAACGCUUGCACCCUACGUAUUACCGCGGCUGCUGGCAC
rnacentral:misc_RNA from 1 species